rnacentral:tRNA from 1 species
ACCCCAGUAGCUUAAUCUGUAAAGCAUUGGUCUUGUAAACCAAAGACUGAAGACUACAAUCUUCCUAGGGUA